UUUGCCCCUAGAGGCGUUACAGAUGUGGCUGCGGUGUCACUUCUGUGUCAUUAGGUGGCAGAGAGCAAUCUGGCUGCGUCUACGCUCGGUGCUCUGUAUAGUGGGCACUCAGAAUGAUUACCAGCCUGACAGC